GAGCACAGGCUCUUCAUCAAAAAGGUCUAGCAGUGAGUCCUCUGGUCAUCAUUUGUAAUAGCUCCUGAAAUGAGUUGGAAAACUUUAAUCAAGUUACUGCUUUAUUUUCAGCUUCUGUUAUCUUUUGAACUCCAGCGGGUUGGGGGAUGGGUUAACCAGCAGUGCAGACUUUUUCUAAAGAGCCUUUGUCUCUCUGCCCAGGUAUUAAGUUGGUGGUGUAACAAUCAUAGGUACAUUUGGUUCACUCCCCCCCGCCCCCCCAAACCGAGUGCCGUCCUGGGUCUGAAUGUGGGCCUGUGUUCUCCCGGUCCACCGUCCUCAGGCCUGCACAGGGGACUGAAAGAGAAUGGGCCACAGGAAUGCACCCAGAACAGAGCCAAAUUGUUCAAGCUGCGUGAAGAAGAAAGAAAAAACGAGUUGGGGGGGUAGUUGGGAGAAGAAGAAAAGGUUUCCUUGUUGGUUCGAUUUCUCUGGAGAUAUCUGGAGGAUAACACGGCAAAUUUUUUUUAGGAGGGGCACCAGGGAGCAAAAACUAGAGAGCCGGGUUUUAUCGGCACAGCGGCCCAUACAGAGAGGUGACAUUGGAGAGAACAAUUGCUAGGUUGUUUGGUCACAUUUGCUGGUAUGAAUGAAGCUUAAGAAAAGCUGUCUUUGGAUUGCUACUAAUAGUCAUCUUCAACAUGCCUGCUCCCUCUCUCUCUCUCUCUCUCUCUUUCUCGGUUCCCUUAUGAAAUAAGGGCACACUGGUAAUAAACAAAGCACUAUAAAAGAUCAGAUUGACGUAUUCCGUGGGCUCAUUCAAUGCCGGGAGCGAGGCUUCUGCACACCGUCGCUGGUGCUUUCGGCUCCAAAAGCUGGGCGGGGACGGAGAGAUGGUGGUGGGAUGAGGCUAGACCCCCUUCUCCCUUUCUGGAACCUUGCCGAAUCCAUCAGGGCCGUGUCCCUGGUCAGCUAACCCACACCUGACGGCUAAGGGACACAGGAAAAGAUGGCAGAGUAGAGACCCUUGGAUUUGCUCCUUUGGAUUUUGGAUUUUGACCUGAGUCCCUUUGUCAGUCCUCAUGCCAGACCCAGUGGUCAAAGAAGUUGGAGACUCAACGGCUGUUUCUUUUUCCUUCAUUUUUCAAACAAAGAAGCUUCAUGAGAACAUUAAGCCCCAAAGAGAAUUGUGUUCAUUGCAAGACUUGUCAAGGAUCGGUGGAGAGAUUUAUAUAAACAAAUCAUUCAGUUCUUCCUUUGGUGACCUUGGUCCUGAGAGUGAAUGCGAUGGUCCUACAGCUUUUUGGCCCUUCAUCAGUACAGAAGCUGCAGUCUGUGCUCAGCAAGACCUCACCAAAUGCAGGAAAAUUAAAGAGAGAAAUGGUCCAUGGCGUAUUCUUACCCACCAUAAAUUGGCGUCAUUUUGGCCACCAUCCAGGGGAGAGAAACCAGCCUCCUGAAACAGAGAAAAAAGAUCAGAAGCUGCUGUAAGGAAGGGAGAUGCAACUUUCCUGGGAAAGAAUUAUCCUUUGCUCCAUUGCUCAGUCAUUCAACAAACACCACCCAGGACAUACAUCGAGUGGAAUAAGGCCUAACACUGUCUUUCAGAGGCAGCUUUUAGGGUCAGCCUUCACAAACAGUGGCUCAACAUCUCUACAGUGUCAGCCCAGCCCCGGGCUUCUGCCUCGACCAACCCAUGAUGACCAGGCAUGUGACCUGUCCCCAGCCGGCUGGGACACGCUGCUCCUGCCAUUAUUUCUAAAG